UACGGGGGGGGCAAGCGUUGUUCGGAAUUACUGGGCGUAAAGGGCUCGUAGGCGGCCAUCUAAGUCGGAUGUGAAAUCCCCAGGCUUAACCUGGGAACUGCAUCCGAUACUGGAUGGCUUGAAUCCGGGAGAGGGAUGCGGAAUUCCAGGUGUAGUGGUGAAAUGCGUAGAUAUCGGGAGGAACACCAGUGGCGAAGGCGACUUCCUGGCCUGUUAUUGACGCUGAGGCGCGAAAGCUAGGGGAGCAAACGGG
rnacentral:rRNA from 1 species